GAGCACGUAGGUGGGUUUGUAAGUCAGAUGUGAAAGCCUUCUGUUCAACGGAAGAAUUGCAUCUGAAACUGCGAGUCUUGAGUGUAGGAGGGGAGAAUGGAACUUCUGGUGGAGCGGUGAAAUGCGUAGAUAUCAGAAGGAACGCCGGCAACGAAAGCGAUUCUCUGGCCUAUUACUGACACUCAGUGUGCGAAAGCUAGGGGAGCAAACGGGAUUAGAUACCCCGGUAGUCCUGGCCGUAAACGAUGGGCACUAAGUAGAGGGGUUUU
rnacentral:rRNA from 1 species